GGCGCGGGAGACUGGGGAGCGGCGCUCCGGCCCCUCCCCGCCCAGCUUUCGCGGGGGGACCGCAGAGAAGGACGUAACCACGCAGGACCUUCUUGUAAAAAUAUCCUCGCAAACGCAGUGUUUGUUUGUUUAUCAUAGACAUUUUGCAAAAUACAGAGGCUUUUCUCACUAGCCCAUUAAAAAUUGCAGCUUUCUUCUCAAGGCGCUCCCGAUCCCCCUUCCUCGCCUCGUGCUCUGCCAUCUGACACACUUCGGGGUUCAAUGCGUGAACGAGUUUAUGGUCUGGCGCCCCCACUCCAGUGCACUUGCAUGAAAGCGGGGAUACUGUGUCGCUCUUCACCUCCGAACCCCCAGUGCUCGGACCUGCCUGGUGCUCACUCACUGCUUGUUCAAUGAAGGCGUGAAGGACGGGUCUCUGUGGCCCAGCCUCUGGAACCCCCGGGUUCCUGCGCUUUUCACGGCGCCGGUACCUCCAGCCCACCUCCGCCUCUGUGAGCCGGCGGCCUAUCCAGGUUAGCCAGAGCCAGCUCCUGUUUCCUGCAGAACCCCUUCCUGGGUCACAGGCACCACCCGCAGGGUGUCCACAGCCUCCUCCAUCGCCCUUCCCACCCCACCUGUACGGACUGAGCGAAGGGCCCCCUCUAAGUCGUUACCUCUGUUAGACACUUGGCGUCACGCCUCGGCCGGGAUCAGUCCUGCAGGGGGAUUCCAGAGUAGCCACGUGUGUAGCUGUGUGACUUUGGGGGAAGUGGCCUAAGUUCUCUGAAACUUGUUUUGUCUUUUUAUCUUCAAAAUUAGUCUACUAACACCUAUUUUGUUUGGCUGUUGUGAAGACAGCACAUACUCUGGGCACUUAACAAAUAACUGAAUGCUGUUAUUACCAGUUCUUACUGGUGUUACCUCAAAGCAGUCCCCUGGCUCGUCCCUCUGCCCUAGUUUAGGCCUUAAGUCUCCUCCGACCUGGACAAGUAAAGUAACCCUUCAACUAAAAUUAGUCACCCGGCUCCCGUCACAGUUCCCCUUCUGAAGCAGAGCUCGUGUUGGAUGACUGACCAGUGCCUUCAAGAUGAAGUCCAGGCUCUUAAGGCAUUUCAAGACCCUUCACAAUCUAGCCUCAAACUACUUUUCCAGAAUCCUGUCAUUUAACUUUAAUUUAGCAAAUGUUUUUUAAGCACCUACUAGAUGCCAGGCAGUAACAGAGCUUACAUUGCAAUGUGGGAACUUGUCAAAAACAAGGUAAUCACAGAUUAUGGUUGAGAUUUCAACCUGAAGUUUUAGGAGGCCUGGAGAACUUCUGUCAUCUCUCUUGUGCUUCUGCCACCCGCUGUGAAAAGAUCAUGUUUCAGGAAGCCACUGCUGCUUCCCUCGGAGGACUAGAGUGACGGCUUGCAGACCCAAAUCUGGUUUGCUGUCGGGAGCCACACUUGCCUGGACACAACCAGGGUCAGCCAAGCCCAGCACAGUCACAGCCAUGCUGCAGACCUGUGUGUGAAGCACAAGUACCUAUCGUAACUGGCGGUGAGUUUGGUUUUGUUUGUUACUUUGGCAAGACUGGAAUAAUACAGACAUGGAGUCGAGACCACGCUUGUGGGCGGGAUGUGUGGGUGAGGCAAAGAAAGAAAUCGAGGCUUCUGUCUCGAGCAGGAGAACGGAGAAGGCACCAAUGACCAAGGAAUUACCGAGCAAGAGGAGAUUGCUGGGAGAAGAAACGGUGGCAGAGUGAAGUUCCGUUUUGGACAUCUGUAGUAGGCUGGUUGCUCAUGGACAUGCUGAGGGCCUAGAGCUGAGUCUGGCACGUGGUAGGAGCUCAGGGACUACACGUUGGAUGAAUGAAUGGAUUAGAACCUUCUGGGCCUGGCAGAAUGACCCUUGGACGAAGCCAUGCCGUCUUGCAUACAACGGUCUGUGAAGCUAAGAGGAGAGCAGACCUCCUGAACACAAGGACAGUUGACCGUGGACGUUCCUUCUGAAGACAAGCAGUAAGCAGCCACAUACAGCUAAAGAGUGACUCAGCUUGUUGACCAGUGGAACUCUGUUGCUUCCAUUCAUGCAAUUAUUCCCUUUUCUCAUGAAAACCCCUUGCCUUCACCCCAUAAU